rnacentral:rRNA from 1 species
AGAGUUUGAUUCUGGCUCAGGACGAACGCUGGCGGCGUGCUUAACACAUGCAAGUCGAACGAACGUAGAAAUACGUUAGUGGCGGACGGGUGAGUAACGCGCGAGCAAUCUGCCCUUGUCAGUGGAAUAACACAGAGAAAUUUGUGCUAAUACCGCAUAAUAUUCAGUUGAGGCAUCUCAGUUGAAUCAAAGAAUUAUCGGACAAGGAUGAGCUCACGUCCCAUUAGGUAGUUGGUGAGGUAACGGCCCACCAAGCCGACGAUGGGUAGCCGACCUGAGAGGGUGAUCGGCCACAUUGGAACUGAGAAACGGUCCAGACUCCUACGGGAGGCAGCAGUGGGGAAUAUUGGGCAAUGGAGGCAACUCUGACCCAGCAACGCCGCGUGAAUGAUGAAGGUCUUCGGAUUGUAAAGUUCUGUGAUGGGGGACGAAGAAAGUGACGGUACCCCAAUAGCAAGCUACGGCUAACUACGUGCCAGCAGCCGCGGUAAUACGUAGGUAGCAAGCGUUGUCCGGAAUGACUGGGCGUAAAGGGUGCGUAGGUGGUUUAACAAGUUGGUAGUGAAAUUCCGAAGCUUAACUUCGGCGCUACUGCCAAGACUGUUGAACUUGAGUACAGGAGAGGUAAGUGGAAUUCCUAGUGUAGCGGUGGAAUGCGUAGAUAUUAGGAGGAACACCAGUGGCGAAGGCGACUUACUGGCCUGCAACUGACACUGAGGCACGAAAGCGUGGGGAGCAAACAGGAUUAGAUACCCUGGUAGUCCACGCCGUAAACGAUGAUUACUAGGUAUGGGAGGUAUCGACUCCUUCCGUGCCGCAGCAAACGCAAUAAGUAAUCCGCCUGGGGAGUACGGCCGCAAGGUUGAAACUCAAAG